rnacentral:tRNA from 1 species
UGAAAACAGGUGUCAAGCAUGUAAACUUUUGAGGUUUAAGGGCUCAAUUAAAUUUUGAGG